UCUGCUUCUUUGAUUUGGGAUGAUGGAAACCACCAAGUUAGAAGCCCAAUUGUAGUGUAUCAAUUCUAAGUGCGUCAAAUAAGAUGAAAUAAUUUGAAAUAAAAGUUGAAUGAUGUUUGUAACUUUAGGAAGAAAUGAAUGCAAAUAAGCUCACUAACAUGAGCUCUUUUUUUUUUUUUAUGUUGUCAAUAACAUUGUACUGUCCCGGAAAAUAUCGAGAGACUGCCAUUCUCACACAAA
rnacentral:lncRNA from 1 species